rnacentral:rRNA from 1 species
UUUCCAGACUCCUACGGGAGGCAGCAGUGGGGAAUAUUGCACAAUGGGGGAAACCCUGAUGCAGCGACGCCGCGUGAGUGAAGAAGUAUUUCGGUAUGUAAAGCUCUAUCAGCAGGGAAGAAGCAAGACGGUACCUGACUAAGAAGCCCCGGCUAACUACGUGCCAGCAGCCGCGGUAAUACGUAGGGGGCAAGCGUUAUCCGGAUUUACUGGGUGUAAAGGGAGCGUAGACGGUAUGGCAAGUCUGAAGUGAAAGCCCAGGGCUUAACCCUGGGACUGCUUUGGAAACUGUUAGACUAGAGUGCUGGAGAGGUAAGUGGAAUUCCUAGUGUAGCGGUGAAAUGCGUAGAUAUUAGGAGGAACACCAGUGGCGAAGGCGUCUUACUGGAUCGAAACUGACGUUGAGGCUCGAAAGCGUGGGGAGCAAACAGGAUUAGAUACCCUUGUAAC